rnacentral:rRNA from 1 species
AUUGAACGCUGGCGGCAUGCCUUACACAUGCAAGUCGAACGGCAGCAUGGGUGCUUGCACCUGAUGGCGAGUGGCGAACGGGUGAGUAAUGCAUCGGAACGUACCCGGAAGUGGGGGAUAACGUAGCGAAAGUUACGCUAAUACCGCAUAUUCUGUGAGCAGGAAAGUGGGGGAUCGCAAGACCUCGCGCUUCCGGAGCGGCCGAGUUCGGAUUAGCGAGUUGGCGGGGUAAAGGCCCACCAAGGCAACGAUCCGAAGCGGGUCGGGAGGAUGAUCCGCCACACUGGGACUGAGACACGGCCCAGACUCCUACGGGAGGCAGCAGUGGGGAAUUUUGGACAAUGGGGGCAACCCUGAUCCAGCCAUGCCGCGUGAGUGAAGAAGGCCUUCGGGUUGUAAAGCUCUUUCGGCCGGGAAGAAAUCGCACAGGUUAAUACCUUGUGUGGAUGACGGUACCGGAAUAAGAAGCACCGGCUAACUACGUGCCAGCCGCCGCCGUAAAAC